UCCCGCAGCUACUGACUGAUUACGGCAGCGUGUACAACUCGAACGACGCCAAGCUCAGUGCACGGUGUCCAAAGAUUGCGCCCCAGAGGCAAUCGUCCAGCUUCUCGCAGCAGAUUCUCGGCGAACUGAUUCAAUUUAACUUUUCCGUUGAGCUCGUCUGGAUCGUUCGUCUUCUUCGUCCUCUACCUCGUGUUCCAGUGUUUUUUUUUCCUCGCUGAACUGCUUGAAGUUCUUGGCGAUAUCUCGGUAGUUCGCGUGCGUGUGUAAAACUCGUUAGUUUGGUAUCAGGAAAAGUUCAAAAGUGACGUUUUUUUCUCUCUCUCCUAGUGUCCAGAUAGCGUUAGUAUAAAUUGCGUGAAAAAAGUUUUUAUUUUGCUGAAAUAGUUCCAAGAUGGCAAAGUUUCCGGCACUGAUGGCGAUUUGUGCCGUCGUAUGCGGUUUAGUCACGCUCACGGCAGGCCACACGUACAAAACCGGGGAGUGUCCACCGGUGGAACCGAUGAACGACUUCGAGAUGAAAAAGUUCACCGGCGUGUGGUACGUGAUCCAGAAAACCGGCACCGCGUCCACCUGUGUCAUCUACAACAUCACCAAAAGCGAGGACCCCGGCGAGUACGACAUCGAGCAGCGUUCCCAGCGAGCCCCGCUCUCGGUUGGCCCCUUCAAGCACGAGUACAGCUACACCGGCAAGCUGACCGCGACCGACCGGGACGUGCCCGCCCGGAUGACCGCUCGGUUUCCGUUGAGUGUUGCCGGUUCCGCUAAAUUUGUCGUCUUUAUGAGCGACUUUGAAACCUACGCCGGGGUGUUCUCCUGCCAGAAGAUCCCGCUUGGUCACCGCCAGAGCGCAACGAUUCUGUCCCGCACCCGCGAUCUGGACAAGAUCUACGUCGACAAAAUCCGCAACCGCCUCGCGAGCUUCUCGGUGGAUCCGUUCGACCUGAGCAUCAUCAACCAGACCGGUUGUCCGAAGGAGGGCGAAGCCGGCUGGAACAUCCACGUCGACACCAACACCUUCUCGGCGAAGAACAUCGCGAACGUGUUCCGCAAGGCCGGCGAGAAGAUCGGCGACGGGUUCGAGUACGCCGUCAACGCCGGCAAAAAGGUUCAUAACUUUAUGUUUUGAGCUUGUUGAGCUUCCUAGAGGAAGAGCCACGUGGGUCUUCACCUUUUUUUUGUGUGUGCUUUUUUAACCAUAUUACGAAUUUCCCGAUUUAUAACCAAUACACCGACUCAAGCAACGAACAUGGCGCAACCACCACCGACAAUGGCCAUCGUGCGGAACGUUUGACGGUGUCACAGGAACCGGAUGCCGAGUGGUUGCCUUGAAAAGGGGAACGGCAGAGCUAUUUUAGGAGGAAGUGUGUCGAUAUGAAUGGUUUCGAAUAAUUUACUCAGAUUACAUACGUCAGCGAAGAAAAUUUUAACAAAAUUGAGGCAAAAUAAAGUGAAGUGACAAUAAGCAUAA